UAGGGAAUCUUCGGCAAUGGGGGCAACCCUGACCGAGCAACGCCGCGUGAGUGAAGAAGGUUUUCGGAUCGUAAAGCUCUGUUGUAAGAGAAGAACGUGUGUGAGAGUGGAAAGUUCACACAGUGACGGUAACUUACCAGAAAGGGACGGCUAACUACGUGCCAGCAGCCGCGGUAAUACGUAGGUCCCGAGCGUUGUCCGGAUUUAUUGGGCGUAAAGCGAGCGCAGGCGGUUUAAUAAGUCUGAAGUUAAAGGCAGUGGCUUAACAAUUGUUCGCUUUGGAAACUGUUAAACUUGAGUGCAGAAGGGGAGAGUGGAAUUCCAUGUGUAGCGGUGGAAUGCGUAGAUAUAUGGAGGAACACCGGUGGCGAAAGCGGCUCUCUGGUCUGUAACUGACGCUGAGGCUCGAAAGCGUGGGGAGCAAACAGG
rnacentral:rRNA from 1 species